rnacentral:rRNA from 1 species
GAUGAACGCUGGCGGCGUGCCUAAUACAUGCAAGUCGAACGAGGUGCUUUUGUAGCAAUACGAGAGUAUCCUAGUGGCGAACGGGUGAGUAACGCGUGGAUGACCUGCCCCAAAGUGUGGGAUAACAGUCCGAAAGGAUUGCUAAUACCUCAUGUGGUUAUCGGUUUUAGAAAGCGAUAACUAAAGCAGCAAUGCGCUUUGGGAGGGAUCUGCGUCCCAUCAGCUAGUUGGUGAGGUAACGGCUCACCAAGGCGACGACGGGUAGGGGACCUGAGAGGGUGGCCCCCACAAUGGAACUGAAACACGGUCCAUACACCUACGGGUGGCAGCAGUAGGGAAUAUUGCUCAAUGGGCGAAAGCCUGAAGCAGCAACGCCGNGUGUGCGAUGAAGG